CCUACGGGUGGCUGCAGUGGGGAAUAUUGCACAAUGGGCGCAAGCCUGAUGCAGCCAUGCCGCGUGUGUGAAGAAGGCCUUCGGGUUGUAAAGCACUUUCAGCGGGGAGGAAGGCGUUAAGGUUAAUAACCUUGGCGAUUGACGUUACCCGCAGAAGAAGCACCGGCUAACUCCGUGCCAGCAGCCGCGGUAAUACGGAGGGUGCAAGCGUUAAUCGGAAUUACUGGGCGUAAAGCGCACGCAGGCGGUCUGUCAAGUCGGAUGUGAAAUCCCCGGGCUCAACCUGGGAACUGCAUUCGAAACUGGCAGGCUAGAGUCUUGUAGAGGGGGGUAGAAUUCCAGGUGUAGCGGUGAAAUGCGUAGAGAUCUGGAGGAAUAUCGGUGGCGAAGGCGGCCCCCUGGACAAAGACUGACGCUCAGGUGCGAAAGCGUGGGGAGCAAACAGGAUUAGAUACCCCGGUAGUC
rnacentral:rRNA from 1 species